UGGUGAGUAACGCGUGAGGAACCUGCCUUUCGGAGGGGGACAACAGUUGGAAACGACUGCUAAUACCGCAUGACGCAUUUGGAUCGCAUGGUCUGAAUGUCAAAGAUUUAUCGCCGAAAGAUGGCCUCGCGUCUGAUUAGCUUGUUGGUGAGGUAACGGCCCACCAAGGCGACGAUCAGUAGCCGGACUGAGAGGUUGGCCGGCCACAUUGGGACUGAGAUACGGCCCAGACUCCUACGGGAGGCAGCAG
rnacentral:rRNA from 1 species